UACUGGGCGUAAAGCGAGCGCAGACGGUUACUUAAGCAGGAUGUGAAAUCCCCGGGCUCAACCUGGGAACUGCGUUCUGAACUGGGUGACUAGAGUGUGUCAGAGGGAGGUAGAAUUCCACGUGUAGCAGUGAAAUGCGUAGAGAUGUGGAGGAAUACCGAAGGCGAAGGCAGCCCCUUGGGAAUGUACUGACGCUCAUGUGCGAAAGCGUGGGGAGCAAACAGGAUUAGAUACCCUGGUAGUCCACGCUGUAAACGAUGUCGAUUUGGGGGUUGAACUUUAAGUUUGGCGCCCGUAGCUAACGUGAUAAAUCGACCGCCUGGGGAGUACGGCCGCAAGGUUAAAACUCAAAUGAAUUGACGGGGGCCCGCACAAGCGGUGGAGCAUGUGGUUUAAUUCGAUGCAACGCGAAGAACCUUACCUGGUCUUGACAUAGUGAGAAUCCUACAGAGAUGUGGGAGUGCCUUCGGGAAUUCACAUACAGGUGCUGCAUGGCUGUCGUCAGCUCGUGUCGUGA
rnacentral:rRNA from 1 species